GGUAAUCAAGGAAAACACAGAACGGUGACACUACUGGGAGACAGAGGGAGUGAAACCAGUUAACAGGACAAGACACAGAAUUAAAGGAGGAACCCAACAUGCCAGCUGCAUGCAGAAAAAGCCCAGGUUGGGAUCCAAACCCAGGCAACAAAAAGUAUGUGGCUGAGGAGCAACUUGCUAAGGGCAUCAGUAGAGCUCACUGCUUUACCAUGGCUUCCUCACAACAGCUCUUCCUUCUGGCAUUUAAAAGCACAAAACCAGGAUUGUACAACCAGUAUUUCUACGUUCUGGGUUUAACCAUUCACAAACUGCAUCCUGUAUUCUUGCAUCUGAGCUAAGUCGGUGUUGUGAAAGGUUUUCGGUUUUAUUGUUCGAAAGAGAGAUCUGCAGCAUAUGUCUUGUGGUAUGAAUGGAAAACAGCUGAA